CCCGCACUGGGAUGCUCCUCAGCGAUGCAGGGAUGGAAGGCAGGUCCAGGUGUUGGAUUUUGGAGUUGCUUCGAUGCUCUGUUCACUGGACCCUCGGGGGAAACUGAGGCAUAGAGGUACGACCUAUAAAUAUUCGGAUUUUUUCCCAAAUCAGAGGAAAAUG
rnacentral:lncRNA from 13 species